CACGUGGGCAAUCUGCCCUGCACUCUGGGACAAGCCCUGGAAACGGGGUCUAAUACCGGAUAUUACCUGAGGGGGCAUCUUCUCGGGUGGAAAGCUCCGGCGGUGCAGGAUGAGCCCGCGGCCUAUCAGCUUGUUGGUGGGGUGAUGGCCUACCAAGGCGACGACGGGUAGCCGGCCUGAGAGGGCGACCGGCCACACUGGGACUGAGACACGGCCCAGACUCCUACGGGAGGCAGCAGUGGGGAAUAUUGCACAAUGGGCGCAAGCCUGAUGCAGCGACGCCGCGUGAGGGAUGACGGC
rnacentral:rRNA from 1 species